GCUUAUUACCAGGGAGAUGAUAGUGAGAAAAUUGAUUAUACUGAUAGCCUAGAUGAGGAUAUCCCAUUGACUGUGUAUCUUAAGGACGGGGUAUCUGUCCUUGUUUUUUGAUUUAGUAAACCAGUGGAAAAGUUCAGUGGGGACGCGGUUCCUGAUGCAGUUACAAUAUACCAAAAUCGUAACUAGUUUACAAAAUCGUCUGAUACGGUUCCUGAUGCAAUUAUGAUGCGCCAUGGCAAUGGUGACAUGCUUUGAAAGUUUAAUUUUGCUGGAUGAAUUGACGAUUGCCUAAAAAAAAGGACAUUGGCACCCACAAGAUUCAGGUUGCAUCAUUGUAAAGGGUGCCUUUCUAAACUUGGACACUUGGAGAUAUCCAGUUUUAGUGGUGAAGAUCCACAGCGUAUACUGCCUUUGUAAACAAUCUUCAAUUGUGGUAAAUUGUACAACUCCAAUGUCGUCAACUUCGGAAGUGUAAUGCUGGAACUUUCAUCAUCAUCAUUGUUGCUCAUUGCAAAUAUCUCUUUCAUUGAAUUACAAUACUUUACGGAUAUCGUCUCUAGAUUUUGAAGUUGUUGAACUAACCUUGGUGUAAGCAAUUUCUCUAUCAAAUGGCAAUCACAAAUAUGAAACGUUUUUA